rnacentral:lncRNA from 1 species
UGUAGGAUCUAUUUGGGAAAGUGAUCAAAUUUGUAAUAUCAAAACCAGCUGCUAAUUCUCCACAUUCAUUUAAUGUAAUUUCAUCACCAACAGAGUUGUUGAAUGAGAUCUUCUGUAGGAAUGAGUGGAGCUAGGUGGAAAGAGAAUCAAAAGGUCUAUAAAGUAUUAUAACAUUCUGAUUAAGAUUGCUGAAUAGCUUUCCUAGAUGCAUUCAAGCUCUUUAUAACUAGGGGUUAUAAAGUUUUGAUUCAAAGUAUAAUUUGUGACAGUGUAGAAUUGGCAGAUCCAUUCUUGUUUUCUGCAAAUGAAGGAAUUUAUACCACACACACCACAUAUGGAGGAAAAGUUACAUGCUGUCAUGUUAAAAGACUUCUUUUAUGCCCCUUUUCCAUUUCACCUUUUAAUCAGUAUUGUGUGAUGAUAUGUUCUUGCAUAAUUGGGACCGUUCAGGGACAUAAUAAAAUAUUUGCAAUUGCUUCUCCAGACCAAUAUCUCACCUCUAGGAGGAAGAUGGUCUAAGGAUCAUAUCUGGAGUGGACAUGACAACUGAGGAGUUUAAAAAGUUAAUGUUAUGACAAAACCUCCCAAUGAUUUAUGUUCUGCUUAAGGAGCAUCUUCUUUUAGAUUUGAGGAGGCCAUAGAAAAGUCUCCAUUACAGAAAUCAGGUAGGAUAUGUUGAAGGAAAUUCUUUGUAAGCAGGUAUUUCACUUCCUGCUAAAUCAAAUGACUGCUGUCUCAUUUUUGGCAAACCAUUGCUAUUCUAAUCUAUCACUUGAAUACACUCAAAAGCAGAUAAAAGAACUUUGGUCAGAAGAAUCCAUUGGAAGUGUUAAGUCUGGUGAUAAAUUGUUAAAAUGAGCAUGAACAGGAUCGCCUUAUUCACCUGGAUAACAGGACAUUUUAGAAACAAAUUUUCAGAGAUUUUGAACAAUCACUCUGAAUGACAAUAUUUAACCUCAGUACCAGUUAAUUGAGAAGUUGCAGUUUGUUAUUCUUGGGUGCUGCCUCUACCCUUUGUGUUUUUUUUGAGGUACAUUGUGACCUGAAACAUAUUUUUUCAAAAUUGGUAUCAUGGAUAAUUAGCUUUAUCUAGUGCAAUGUCAAACUGCUCCACUGCCCCAUUUCCCCAAUGGCUCCCUUCUCCUCUGAAGAACAAAAGUGUAUUUUUUUCUUGCUGCUAUUGCUGGUUGUGGCAGUGCAGAGAAAGCUGGUGAAAAGUUUGCAAAGUUUGGUUGGGUGAGCUUGAAAGCGCUUAAGGAAUUCAAAAAGGGAAUGGAAUUGCCUAUUUCCUUUCUUAUGUUAACAUCACAAAGUGGCCAAGUGGAGAAUGUGCUUGAAUUUAAUUUUCUUUCUCUUUAGCUUAUGGUACCUAGUUGUGUACCAAAUGCAAUAAUGCGAGUAAUUUUUCACUCGCUUGAUCAUCACUUUGUCUUGGUGAGUGGGCCUGCACAUUCCUGUGACCCUUGUGAACAAAGCUGCCGGGACUCCCAGUAGGGUCACCCAAGCUGGUAAGGUCAAAGGGGAAGAGCUAAACAAAGAAUGAACCAAGAAGUCCUCAGUGGCAGAACAGCUGGAUGAUAACAAGCGGUAUGUUACAAUGGCUGUGAAGGCGGAUGAAGGCUGCAGGAGAUAAGAAUCUACCAGUCAUCGUGAUAAUCAUGCCAUUGGAAUAAAGCAUUCCUGUGAAGACUGUGGAUUGGUCAGCCUGCACUGAUCUACACACAUAAAACAAAUUCACACACAGGCACCUUCCAAAAACCCAUCCCAAACCCCAAAAGUCCCAUGGCAAUUGGCAAAUGGUAAUGGGGGCAGGACCGUGAAAUCUGGAAGCCCCUAGUCAUGAACUGGCACAUGGGUGGUGGAUACAGAUUCAGUCGUUCUGACUCAAGGAAUGAGGCAGUUGAGCAGCUCGGCAGCUGUAUCCAUGACUGAGCAGCCCUAUUUAGGAUCCACUCUGCUCACCCCAAAAAGGGGCUAGAAAAGGUGUCCUAAACAUAGUCUGCCUCCCUUUUUCCCUGAGUGAAUUACCGUGCCCAGUGGGGUCACCACCCAACUGUCAAAAAAGUCAAUUGAACUUUGGAACAUGAAAUAUACAGACUUUGUCAGAUAACACAGAUAAUGAAUGUCCCGAAUGCGGAACUGCAUCAUUGCAAGAGAGCUGCGACAUUUUUACAUCGAUAUUGCAGCACUUCAAGAAACUCGAAGAGCAGGUGAGAGUCGACUGAAGGAAGAAAAGGAGGAAACACAUUCUUCUGGAAAGGUCUACCUGAGCAAGAACGUCAAAUACAUGGAGUAGGCUUUGCUAUCAAAAAUGAUCUUGUGAAGCUCUUGUCAGAAGUCCCUACCAGCAUUAAUGAACGACUCUCAACCCUUCAAAUAAAGCUCACCAAAAGCCAACAGGCUAUUAUUCUAAGCACUUAUGCAUCAACACUGGAUGCUCAUGAAGACAUUAAAGAAAAUUUUUACUCUCAGCUGGAUACCAUCCUAUCGGAGACGCCUAAGGAGGAUAAGGUUAUCCUCCUGGGUGAUUAUAAUGCAAGAGUUGGGUGAGAUUUCAAUAUGUGGCCUGGGACUAUUGGGGAAGAAGAAAUUGGCAACAGCAACCAGAAUGGAAUCUUACUUUUGAUGAUAUGUGCAGGGCACAACCUUGUUAUUACCAACACACUCUUCCGACAAAAAAAUAAAUCUAAAACAUAUUGGAGACACCCUCGGUUAAGCCACUGGCACUUCUUUGACUAUGUACCGGUAAUUGUCCAACCUGAAGAUCAAUGCGAUGUGCUCCUUACCAGAGCUAUGACGAAUGCCGAUGACUGCUGGACAGAUCACUGAUUAAUACACUCCACAAUGGCUAUCAAGGAUAGGCAGGCUUCAAGGAAGGAAACCAAGGCACAAAAAGGACACUCAAGUCCUUCAAGAUCCUAUUAAGACGGUAUUGCUUCCAAGUGACUCUUAAGGACCAUCUGCUUUUGGAGCUCCCUGAUAACAUCGAGGAACUCUGGGCCAAGCUAAAAUCAUCCAUUAUUGCAGGCUGUGAACAAACUAUUGGAUACCAAACCAAGAAACACCAGGAUUGGUUUGAUGAGAGUGACAGUGAGAUUGAACACAUGAUUGACAAGAAAAGGAACGCCUUUCAGAUCUGGCAAAGAGACAGAAACUGCGCCAGUAAGAAAAAAACCCUAUGCCAAUGCUAAGGCUGAGGUUCAAUGAAGAACCAGAGAACUAAAAAACACCUGGUGGAUAAAAAAAGCUCAAGAGACCCAGCACUUAGCCAACACUCAUGAUGCACAGAGUUUCUUUAAAGCUACAAAGACCAUCUAUGGGCCAAUAAAUCAUGGCAUAUGCCCCCUACACUCAACAGACCAUACCACACUUCUAAACGAUAAAGAAGCUAUUGCACUGUACUGGAAAGAACAUUACCAGCAUCUCCUUAACCACAACUCCCACGUAGCUGCUGAGGUCCUCUCACAAAUUCCACAAAUACAAAUUAGAGAUGAGCUUGCGGUAUCUCCAAAUCUGGUAGAGUUGUGUGCAGCUAUUAACCAAAUGAAAAACAACAAAGCCAGCAGACGAUGGGAUACCUGCCGAAGUCUUCAAAGUGGGCAGAAUUGAACUUGCACAACAACUUCACAAGCUCAUAAAAAAAUUAUGGGAGAUAGAGAGUAGAGCUAGGGAUGCCAAAAUUAUCAAUCUCUUUAAAAAAGGUGACAGAACAGAUUGUGGAAAAAAUUGAGGCAUCUCUUUAUUAACAGCAGCCGGCAAAAUUCUUGCAAGGAUCUUAGCAAAGGAUCUUAAGGUCUCUUAACAAUAUCCGAGGCGACUUUUCCUGAAUCCCAAAAUGGUUUUAGACCUUCUGGGGACAGUGGAAAUGAUUUUCACCACUUGACAGCUUCAAGUAAAAUGCAGAAAGAAAAACCAACCCCUGUAUAUGGCAUUUAUUGACCUAAGGCCUUCAACACUGUAAAUUGUAAUGCCCUGUGGACUGUCCUUCUGAAAACUGGCUGCCCAGAUAAAUUUGUGAACAUCAUUUAGCUUUUCCAUGAUAAUAUGACAGCAACAAUCACAGAUAACAAUGGCUCUCAAAGUGAACCAUUCACAGUGGGAUCAUGUGUUAAACAUGGUUGUGUUAUCGCCCCAACUGUAUUCAUUAUUUUCAUUGCCAUGAUCCUACACCUUGUUGAAGGGACACUCCCCUCCGGAGUAGAAAUCAUAUGGAAAUCAUAUGAAAACAGAUGGAAAGAUCUUUAAUCUUAGCAGGCUGAAAGCAAAGAGUAAGGUUACUGUAACUUCCAUCAUAGAGCUUCAGUAUGCUGAUGACAAUGUAAUGUGUGCACAUUCAGAAGAUGACCUACAAACCAUCCUAAAUAUCUUUGCAUAAAGCUUACGAAGCCUAUCACUCAACUUAAAAAAAAACCAAAGUGCUGCACCAACAAGCACAAAACAACCUCUCUGCAGCACCACAAAUCCAACUCAAUGGUGUAACAUUGGAAAAUGUCAAUCACUUCUCCUACCUGGGCAGUUAUCUCUCCACAAGGGCCAAAACUGAUGUCUAAAUCCAACAUUGUCUGAGCUUUGCAAGUGCAGCUUUCUACCAAUUGAAGUGUAGAGUGUUUGAGGACCAGGACAUUCUCAGGGAAACCAAAAUGCUUGUUUACAAAGCUAUUGUUCUACCAACCUUACUGUAUGCUUGUGAAACGUGGACCACUUAUAAACACCGUCUCCAACUCCACAAAAGAUUCCAUCAACAGUGUCUCUGAAAAUUUUUACACAUCACUUGGGAGGACAAGCGAACUAAUGCCAGUGUACUGGAAGAAGCAAAGAUCACCAGUGUUGAAGCAAUGAUUCUUCAACAUCAACUUUGUUGGACUAGUCAUGUUGUGUUGAUGCCUGAUCAUCGUCUUCCAAAGCAACUACUCUAUUCUGAAUUUAAAAAUGGAAAGCAAAAUGCUGGUGGUCAACAAAAGAGGUUUAAAAACUCUCUCAAGGCAAAUCUUUAAAAACGUUGUAUAAACACUGACAACUGUGAAACACUGGCCUGCAAGCGCUUCAAUUGGAGAACAACCUUUACCAAAGGUGUCAUGGGCUUUGAAGACACUCGAACUCAGGAUGCAAGGGAGAAACGUGCCAAGAGGAAGGCAUACUUGGCAAAUACACACCAUGAUUACUUCCCGCCCAGAAACCAAUAUCCCCACCGUGGAAGGACGUGUGGAUCCAGAAUUGGCCUCCACAGUCACUUACGGACUCGGUGUUAAAACCAUGUUUAUGGAAGGCAAUCUUACUCAGCUAAGAGUGAUCGCCAAAGAAGAAGAGCAAUAAUAUGACUGAAAGCAGACCCAAUUUCAAUAGAAACUUGAAUAUGACUGUGUAGGUUCCACUUUUGGUUGAAAGUGAUGUAUGCGCCUGUGGGACUAGCUCCUCUCACAUUGACCGAUUCUUUUUACUCCAAGUGGAAAAAAACAGUUAAAUUAUUAAAUUUGGGUUUUUCCAUCAGCGAUAUCCUAACCCAAGUAAACGAUAAAGCAAAAAUGAAUAUUUCACAGAGAAUCAGAGAUAUCAAACUACAAAAUCACUUAGCCCUAGCUGAUUUAUAUCCCAUGCUCAGGACAAACAGAUUGGUGCUGGUACUUCCCAAAUAUUUGACAAAUUUGGCUAUCCUCAAAUUUAGAAGGGCAUUUAUGCAAGCUAUUCAUGUCUGCCUUCUGAUCUAUUGGAAGGCAGAUAUAGAAAGAUUUUUCACGGCAAGCAGCUCUGUCCACGUAAGAGCGGUCAAGCAGAAACAGUGAACCAUAUUCUAUUCCAUUGUAGAUUUUAUUCAGAUUUCAGAGCAUCCCUCAUAAACCUGCUUGUACAAAAAGUGCCAGGGAGGAUAGAGGAAUACUAUUUAAAUUACCUCCUGUCCAACUAGAAUUCUUAUGUCACCAGAAAUGUAGCUAGAUUUGUGCAAUAGCCAUAAGUAAAAGAAAGCAAAAGAUUACACAGCUGCAUAAAUCGUGAUAAACUGGUACAGUUCUUAGUUAAAUCUUUUAUUAUUUUAAACUCUUAUGGUGUUUUAUUCCACUGGACAUGUAUUUCAAGUACACUUAACCACUAUAUUGCUUGUUAAACCCCAUACUGAUCAUUUUUAUUGUUUAUGUAGAGAAUUAUCCAUAAAUUUUGAUUUAAUAUGCUAGCUGUUUGCCAUAAUAAACAUUGAUUGAGCUUAUGGCAUUAUAUCCCAGCAAAUGUAUUUAAACAAUUAUGCCACACCAAAUUUGGUUUGGAUUUCUGUUACUAUCCACUUCACAGUUACUACCAGCCCCAAAGCUUCAACAAUUGUCUAAUCAAAUGCCACUUGAAAUAUAGGAACAGCCUUCAUUCCAACUCUUUAAAUAUCUGCUGUUAUUUAGCCACUAUUUAUAACUACCGUAAAUACCAACUCACAUAAAAUAUCAAGGCAGGGCACAAUAGUGAACACUUUGUAAACCAAACUCUUUGCAACAGCAAACACUACCUUCCAAGGCUCUAGAUUCUGAGGAGAUCGUCUGCCUGCAGCCUCCAUUCUUCUGCUGUUGGAUCCAGCCAAGUGCCUAUGUAAGGCAUGUGCCAAAGCAGAGACAGCAUUAUAGAUACUGUAGCUGUGGCUGGUCAUGCUCAUUUCAAAAAAUGGCGCAGGAAGGCUCUCCAGCAUUUCCUCUCCAGUACAAGGCUUAGCUUUGUAUAUUGACUUAGUAGAGUCUGUAAAUGAACAACCGAAUGCUUGUUCCCAGAAAUCUGUGAUAAAACCAUUUCCAUCUACCAAGGAAGGAUUUACAUUCUGCAGAAAGUAUCGGAAGUCAUGAAUUUCCUUGGAAUGAAUUGCAAAGGAGAUAGCACCAUGGAACAUUUGUAUAUCAACAUCAAAUUUUUCUUGGAAAAUAUUUAUUACGAAAUCAAUUUGAGCUGUGGUAAUCCAUACUUUCCCUUCAGGUAAGUUCUUUUGGACUGAGCAAGUAUGAGCUGAGCUACCUUCAUUACGUUUAGAGCAAAUGACAACCACAUAAGAGAUGUACUUUCUCCGUAUACAACAACUGUGUUUGCUGCGCUUCUCAUGAAAGCUGGGAAAACAAAACUUGUGUCACGCACCAUAUCAAGUAUGUUACCAGUGAAACGUAGAUGGUAUUCAACUCUUUCUGUGAAUGCUGAACAGAUCCCAUUUUUGAAAAACAUUGGUUCAAUGGUAUUCAAGAAACGUUCUCCAGCUUCAUUGGCUGGAGUGAUGAGCCCAACCCAUUUCCAUCCAAAAUGCAGAAGUAAUUGGAUAAGUCCCUGAUACUGAAGUCCUUCAUUAGGAACCAUGUGGUAAAAGGAAGGGAACUUAAUGUGGUUAUUUGUGGCUGCUUCAAAUGAGCCAUACGAAGUCUGUAAAAGGAAAAGUCCAAGCAUUCUGAGUGAAAGAAUUCAUAACAAACCUAUUUAUCCCAUAGAUCUCCAAUAUACUGAUUUUAUGGAAAACACCUACCCACACUUACAUAAAAAAUAAAAACACAGUCUUGCUCAUUCCCCUGCCCUGUAGAUAUUAAUUCCCAUUAUUACGGAAUCAAAGCAGAUUCCUACAUGUAGAUGUUACUUUACUUCAAGUAUAGGAGAGCGUUUACUCUUUUUUAAUUUGCUGCUUUCAGCACCACAAAAUUAAAAAGCAGUAAAAUACAAAAAUACCAUAUCAAUCACAUCCAGC